UACGUAGGGGGCAAGCGUUGUCCGGAUUUAUUGGGCGUAAAGAGCGUGUAGGCGGCUUUACAGGUCCGUUGUGAAAACUCGAGGCUCAACCUCGAGACGCCGGUGGAAACCGUAAGGCUAGAGUCCAGAAGAGGAGAGUGGAAUUCCUGGUGUAGCGGUGAAAUGCGCAGAUAUCAGGAAGAACACCCGUGGCGAAGGCGGCUCUCUGGGACGGUACUGACGCUGAGACGCGAAAGCGUGGGGAGCGAACAGG
rnacentral:rRNA from 1 species